rnacentral:lncRNA from 1 species
GAAUUGGGUUCCUUUUGUACAACUUUUAUAUAGAAAACCUUGUCAUUUUCUAUUGUUGUACGUAUGAAAUCCAAAAUGUUUGUUCCAACAUCCUGUUGAAUAGAAUUAUCAGCAAAAAUAAAGUUGUUAAUGUUUGUGUAAUGUAAUCCUAUUUGUUUAGUAUAUGUGCGUACCGAUAAUGUAUGCUCCAUUAAAUUCUGUGCAGUACAUAGCAAAAAUUGUUUAGCUGGCUCUCCAAUGGCAGUUGCAUUGAUGUAUCCAGUUGAGUCUUGUAACUCAAAGUACACCAUUGCUCUAUAGAGGUAAUAAUUUUGUGAUUAAUGAAUGUAAAAAAAGUAGGUAAGAGGUGUAAGUAAAUGUGUGUGCUAUAUAUAAUAAUCUAUGAAGACAGAAUUAAGUGAUGUUAAUUUUUUGUUUUACAGUUUGUAAGAAAAUAAAUAGCAAUUAUCUUGGACAUGCUGUUGCAUCAGGGUAUUUACAGUAGCGACAUGGGUAAACAUCUCCAAAAUUGGCAUAUGAUUCUUUAUUGCAAUUAUUGCAACUCAUGUACCAGAAUGAUUGAGGAAAUUUUUUUAUAGAUGACCUUGCUUUAACCCAAAAGAAUCGUUGCUGUGUAAAAAUUAGGUCUAUGUCAAUGUAAAAAAAAAUGUGGUGUUCGAAAUAAUUAUAUUAUAGGUAAAAAACAAUUGGUAGUUACCGUGUGCUGCAGAUGUUGAAUGCUUUUCAAUUCUGUGAAUUUGUCUUCCUUUGGUAGAGAGAGCUUUGAGGGUGCUAAUUUCAGGUAGGGCUUUUCAGAUAAGAUAUGGUUUACUUUAUCUACAUUAGUUUGAGCCCUGUUAUAUUACAUAGUAUAAUAGAGUUAUUAUUUAAUUCUUUCAUGGAUCAGGAUAACAAGCAUGUAAAAUACUAACCAUGAUUUGUAGUCAGCAACAAUUUCAAAUGCAGCGUCAAAGGAGAAAGAAGUAUUAGCUUUUGUGGAGAGUGAUAAACCUGUAAAAGAACGUGAUGACUCGGCUGUAAAGGGAUAACAUGUACAAGAAGCUGUUGUGUGCAUAUAUACAGUAGAGAAGACUGAUUACCAUUGAAAGAAGAGACUUUCAGAUGCUUAGCAAUGACAACCGGCUGUUUUAUUAAAUUUUCUAAGAUGUAGUUGCAUUCAUUUACAACAAAGUUUUCCCACAUUGUGAGAAGAACUAUUUGAAACCUAGAGUAUAUGAUAUAUAUGAAAUUAUGAAUGGAAUAAAUAACAAAAUAUUACAAGAAGGAAAAAAAUAGUAAUAAGUAUAAAAUAAGGGUAGAAGAAGUGCGGUUUACUUUUUGUUAAUAAGAACUAAAUCUUGUACAAUAGUCUCAGUUCCAAAGCGUGUUUGAAGAAGUCUUUUUGGUCGCAUAUCAAUCACAAUUCCAAUGAUGCCUGUACAGUUUUUAGUAAUUUCAAUAAGUAGGAUGAAAUGUAAUAAUAGAGAAAAGAAAUCUUGUAAGGAAUAUGGAUAGAAAAGUUUGAAAAAGUCAAUAAAUCACUUAUAUCUGCGUUGGAAUCCAUGUAUUUUUCAAGUUCUUGGAAGUCGGUGAAAUUGUAUGUAGAUAUUAGAAGGGACCCAUGAUCUUCCUUGAUUUCUUGUACUCUAGUCUUUCCUGAAAUUGUCCAAUCCACUUCAUUUAAUCUGGAAGAGUACUCAGAUUUUGCAAUUUUCACCAAUGCAUUUGAUACUAAGUAAGUCUUGCCCAAUAUCAGCUCGUCUCUGUAAGCAUUUAUAUGGUGAUCAUAUAAGGUUGCCUGAACCGUUGCUCCCUAUGUUAGAAAGUAAAAAAUGAAAUUAGAGUGCUAUGUAAUAUUUUGGCUGUUAAGUAUGGAAUUAAAUUAUGUGUUUUGGAAGUACAAAAUUUCGAAAAUAAUACUUUAGGAUAUGUUUUAUACAGAUGUAGAUGUACAUUUAUAUUUCUAUAUAUUUUCAUUAUUAGAAGAGUUAAAACUAUAAAGAAAUACUUAUGUUAAGCUGAAGCACUUACCUCUGAGUCCAUAAGCACGAUCUUUUGGUAUUUUCCUGAGCCCGUUCAAAAAAAUUUUGGUGAACUUUUUUCCGCAGCAACAACUUUUGCAGUCCACCCCGAGGCUCCAACAAAAAUAUCUCGAAUAAGUUGGAAAUUGUUGUCCAUAUUUACUGAAACAUAAACAUAUAUACAUAAUAAAUCUGAAAAAGAAAAUCUAAAAAUCUAUUCUAGAUAACAUGAUGUAAUUAACGUGGAAACAGAUAGUGCACAAAACAAUGGAGAAGAAGAUAUCAUUUAAUGAAGAAUAUGAAUUGUAGUAGUAAAAUAUUAAAGGUGCAUCAGCAAAAGUAAAAGAAAUUGUACCUAGAGCAGAUUGUAGAAAGGCUUCUUUCUUUGUUGUGGUUCAGUUUUUUUUUAAGAGAAGAAGAGAAGAAGUUGAAGAUGUUUCUAGAAGUGAAAUGACUAGUAUACGUGAGUAUAUAUACAGGGAGGUGCUGUGUAUUGCUGUUCUGCACAACAGUAUAUAAUAAUAAAUUGAAGCACUUCUCUUUUCUAUUGCGGUUCGAGAAUCUGCUCAUCAACCAUUAUCAAGCACUGAAACUGGUACUUCAAAAAAUUUAGUCGACGAUCAACAUUUGUACGAAAAGGAUCUGUGUGUACUUCACUAAAUAGAAAGGUGCAGUAGUGGUGUUAGAUGGUUGUAUUUUAUUUAUUUUUAUUUCUUAUAUUUUAUGUAUGUAUACAUACUGAUGAUUCAUAAUAAAAUAUGCUCUAUGUAAAUACUUGAAAAUGUACACACAAUUUGAUGAAUGCUUUGGUGAUUUUAGUUUAAAUAAUGUUCCUACAAAGCCUCAUAUACUAAAAAAACCAACAAUUUGUACCUAUUGCAAUGCGAAAAAAUUUGAGAACGAAUGUAAAGGUUUUUGUUGUUGUGAUGGAAAGGUUAGAUUACAAAUUAAUAGUGUACCUAAUGAAUUGUACAACUUAUUUACUUCAGAUACAUGCGAUGCUUUGCUUUUUAAAAACAAUGGACAUAGUUAUAAUAAUCAUUUUGCUUUUACUUCAUUUGGUGUAAGAUUUGAUAAAGAUUUACACAAAAAUUACAAAGGUAUUUUUUUUUAAUUAUGUAUGACAGAAUACACUAUUGGAAGUGAAAACAUACGAUUGUAUUUUAUUAUUUUUUUACUAUAAAAAUCAAUCCUUGAAGUAACGUAAGCGUACAAAAUAUGCUGUAAUGAAUGAUGUAACAUUUUUUUGGGCGACUUAAAUUUAAAAAAUAACUCGAAGAGUUGUACUUUUAGUGAUGGAUAUGGAAAACAAUACGUAAGAAAUUGGGAAGAAAAAGUAUGGGAUGAGAAGUAUUAUUUCUUUAGAUUGGGUGCUAACGACAUUAGUAAAGUUACUUGUUUAUUAACCAGAGGUACAUGUGAUUGAAGUUUAUGAAAUUUUUGUCAAAACUAUACAUUAGAAAUUACAAAUUUAUAGAGAUAUAUAAUUAUUAAAAGUUUAAUUAAUGUAGAAUAUGAAUAUUAAUUAGUAUAUUUACUUUGAUUGAUUUAGAUACUAUCAAAAGUAUCCUGAAGGGUAAAGAAUGAACAUGAAUAUUACAUUUAAUUUUCAUAUGACGAAUCCUAAGAAAGUUGAUCAAUAUCUUAAAAAUCAAUCCAUACUCGAAAUUUUUCCGUUCAUUAAGUAAUAUUGAUGAUUUAAAAACAUACAAAAUACACAUUAGAUGUGACCCUGGUCUUGACCAGAGAGUAUACAAUACACCUUCUGUGUCACAAGUAGCUGGAAUUUGUACUAUAACGAAUUGGGUUCCUUUUGUACAACUUUUAUAUAGAAAACCUUGUCAUUUUCUAUUGUUGUACGUAUGAAAUCCAAAAUGUUUGUUCCAACAUCCUGUUGAAUAGAAUUAUCAGCAAAAAUAAAGUUGUUAAUGUUUGUGUAAUGUAAUCCUAUUUGUUUAGUAUAUGUGCGUACCGAUAAUGUAUGCUCCAUUAAAUUCUGUGCA